rnacentral:ncRNA from 1 species
UCCAGGGGAAGUAUGGUUGCAAAGCUGAAACUUAAAGGAAUUGACGGAAGGACACCACCAGGAGUGGAGCCUGCGGCUUAAUUUGACUCAACACGGGAAAUCUCACCAGGCCCGGACACCGGAGGGAUUGACAGAUUGAGAGCUCUUUCUUGAUUCGGUGGGUGGUGGUGCAUGGCCGUUCUUAGUUGGUGGAGCGAUUUGUCUGGUUAAUUCCGAUAACGAACGAGACUCUUUCCUGCUAACUAGUUGA